GACGAACGCUGGCGGCGUGCCUAAUACAUGCAAGUAGAACGCUGAAGAGAGGAGCUUUCUCUUCUUGGAUGAGUUGCUCACGGGUGAGUAACGCGUAGGUAACCUUCCUUGUAGCGGGGGAUAACUAUUGGAAACGAUAUCUAAUACCGCAUCACACUGGCUGACACAUGUCCUUUAUUUGAAAGGGGCAAUUGCUCCACUACAAGAUGGACCUGCGUUUUAUUAGCUAGUAGGUGAGGUAAUGGCUCACCUAGGCGACGGUACAUAGCCGACCUGAGAGGGUGGUCGGCCAAAAUGGGAAGGAGACAAGGCCCAGGACACUACGGGAGGGAGCAGUAGGGGAAUAUUGGCAAAGGGGGGAACGCUGACCGAGGAAAGCCGGGUGAGGGAAGAAGGGUGUCGGAUCGUAAAGGUCCGUUGUAAGGGAAGAAAGGGUGGGAGAGUGGAAAGUUCACACUGUGACGGUAGCUAAACAGAAAGGGACGGCUAACUACGUG
rnacentral:rRNA from 1 species